ACACGUAUGAAAGUCAAGCUGAAAGACUUUACUCAAUGAUGUAAGUGGUGGUGCAUGGUCGUUCGUGGUUCGUGGAUUGAUUUGUCUGGUUAAUUCCGAUAACGAGCGAGACCCUAGCGUUCUAAAUAGGGUGCUUAGCCAAAUCCUGCCGCAAGGCAGGGUUAGCUUCGCGCUAUACCAAACUUCUUAGACGUAUCAGAGCCGAUAAGGUUCUUGAAAUGGGUUAAUAACAGGUCAGUCAUGCCCUUAGAUGUUCUGGGCCGCACGCGCGUUACAAUGGUAUGUAAAGCAAGUGCUCCAUGGUUGAGUUUCCCCGUGGCUGAAAAGCUAUGGUAAUCCUUAAGACUUCCCUUGACUGGGCUAGAUCUUUGGAAUUAUUGGUCUUAAACGAGGAAUUUUUAGUAAUAGCCAGGUCAUUAGCCUGCGCUGA
rnacentral:rRNA from 2 species